CCCGGGCUACACACGUGCUACAAUGGCAGGUACAGAGGGCUGCGAAGCCGCGAGGUGGAGCGAAUCCCAGAAACCUGUCUCAGUCCGGAUUGAAGUCUGCAACUCGACUUCAUGAAGGCGGAAUCGCUAGUAACCGCGAAUCAGCAGGUCGCGGUGAAUACGUUCCCGGGCCUU
rnacentral:rRNA from 1 species